GGAUUGAACGCUGGCGGCAGGCCUAACACAUGCAAGUCGAGCGGUAGAGAGGUGCUUGCAUCUCUUGAGAGCGGCGGACGGGUGAGUAAUGCCUAGGAAUCUGCCUAGUGGUGGGGGGUAACGUUCGGAAACGGACGCUAAUACCGCAUACGUCCUACGGGAGAAAGCGGGGGACCUUCGGGCCUCGCGCCAUUAGAUGAGCCUAGGUCGGAUUAGCUAGUUGGUGAGGUAAUGGCUCACCAAGGCGACGAUCCGUAACUGGUCUGAGAGGAUGAUCAGUCACACUGGAACUGGGACACGGUCCAGACUCCUACGGGAGGCAGCAGUGGGGAAUAUUGGACAAUGGGCGAAAGCCUGAUCCAGCCAUGCCGCGUGUGUGAAGAAGGUCUUCGGAUUGAAAGCACUUUAAGUGGAGAAGGUUGUAACCUAAUACGUUGCAACUUUGACGUUACGACAGAAUAAGCACCGCUAACUCGUGCCAGCGAGCCGCGUAAUC
rnacentral:rRNA from 1 species